UAGGACGUAGUAUAAAUAAAUUAUAUCUCAUUUACACUGAGAUGGUGGUAGUAUUAUUGCCCGUUCUAA
rnacentral:tRNA from 1 species